AUACGGAGGGUGCAAGCGUUACUCGGAAUCACUGGGCGUAAAGCGCGCGCAGGCGGUGUUUUAAGUUGGAUGUGAAAGCCUACGGCUCAACCGUAGAACUGCAUCCAAAACUAUUAGACUAGAGUGUGGGAGAGGAAGAUGGAAUUAGUUGUGUAGGGGUAAAAUCCGUAGAGAUAACUAGGAAUACCAAAAGCGAAGGCAAUCUUCUGGAACACUACUGACGCUGAGGCGCGAAAGCGUGGGGAGCAAACAGGAUUAGAUACCCUAGUAGUCC
rnacentral:rRNA from 1 species